rnacentral:rRNA from 1 species
UACGUAGGGUGCAAGCGUUGUCCGGAAUUAUUGGGCGUAAAGAGCUCGUAGGCGGUCUGUCGCGUCGGAUGUGAAAACUCGGGGCUCAACCCCGGGCCUGCAUUCGAUACGGGCAGACUAGAGUUCGGCAGGGGAGACUGGAAUUCCUGGUGUAGCGGUGAAAUGCGCAGAUAUCAGGAGGAACACCGGUGGCGAAGGCGGGUCUCUGGGCCGAAACUGACGCUGAGGAGCGAAAGCGUGGGGAGCGAACAGG